CCUACGGGAGGCAGCAGUGGGGAAUAUUGCACAAUGGGGGAAACCCUGAUGCAGCGACGCCGCGUGAGUGAUGAAGUAUUUCGGUACGUAAAGCUCUAUCAGCAGGGAAGAAAAUGACGGUACCUGACUAAGAAGCCCUGGCUAACUACGUGCCAGCAGCCGCGGUAAUACGUAGGGGGCAAGCGUUAUCCGGAUUUACUGGGUGUAAAGGGAGCGUAGACGGCAGCGCAAGUCUGGAGUGAAAUCCCUGGGCUUAACCAUGGAACUGCUUUUGAAACUGUGCAGCUGGAGUGUAGGAGAGGUAAGCGGAAUUCCUAGUGUAGCGGUGAAAUGCGUAGAUAUUAGGAGGAACACCAGUGGCGAAGGCGGCUUACUGGACUGUAACUGACGUUGAGGCUCGAAAGCGUGGGGAGCAAACAGGAUUAGAUACCCUAGUAGUC
rnacentral:rRNA from 1 species